CGACAGUAAACUGGUCGAUGUGAUAUGUAUGGGUUACUUGGUGUCAGCGGAUAACAUGUUUUAUUCGCCAUUAAGCAAUACACCAGUGACCAGACAUAUCCCUAUCGCUUAGUUUAGAUCCUC
rnacentral:pre_miRNA from 1 species